GGGGAUGACGGGAUUCGAAAGAAGCCUUAAUUUAAAUGGUGCAAGCCGAGCUUUCUCAAAUCUCGUUAAACUUGAGAAAACUUUAAUAAGUGCCAACUUAUUUGAGAAACCCGCGUUAGCAUUUGCCUAACGCCAUCCGCUUCGCCGCAUUCUCGAUAGGCGAAUACGGGUGUCAUAUAUCGAGAUAGAUAAUUUUUUUCGUCUCGAAAGAAUUAUUUAAAAAAUAGAGACAAAAAAUUUUCCGCCUUAGGCGGAUAAACUUGUAGAGCUAUCUAAAUUAAACUUUUUGAUGAGGGUUCAACUCCCUCCAUCUCCACUC
rnacentral:tmRNA from 1 species